GGGGCCUUCGGCUAGCUUGGUCCAGGCUUGUAGACUUGGGCUCUAUAGACUCCGGUUCAAAUCCGGGAGGCCCCACCA
rnacentral:tRNA from 1 species